GACGAACGCUGGCGGCGUGCUUAACACAUGCAAGUCGAACGGAAAGGCCCUGCUUUUGUGGGGUGCUCGAGUGGCGAACGGGUGAGUAACACGUGAGUAACCUGCCCUUGACUUUGGGAUAACUUCAGGAAACUGGGGCUAAUACCGGAUAGGAGCUCCUGCUGCAUGGUGGGGGUUGGAAAGUUUCGGCGGUUGGGGAUGGACUCGCGGCUUAUCAGCUUGUUGGUGGGGUAGUGGCUUACCAAGGCUUUGACGGGUAGCCGGCCUGAGAGGGUGACCGGCCACAUUGGGACUGGGGAAGGGCCAGGGCUCCAACGGGGGGAAGGGGUGGGAAAUAUGCACAAUGGGCGGAAGCCUGAUGCAGCAACGCCGCGUGCGGGAUGACGGCCUUCGGGUUGUAAACCGCUUUCGCCUGUGACGAAGCGUGAGUGACGGUAAUGGGUAAAGAAGCACCGGCUAACUACGUG
rnacentral:rRNA from 1 species